CCUACGGGUGGCAGCAGUCGGGAAUUUUGGGCAAUGGGGGCAACCCUGACCCAGCAACGCCGCGUGAGCGAUGAAGGCCUUCGGGUCGUAAAGCUCUGUCAGGAGGGAAGAAGGCUCUCGGGGUGAACAAUCCCGGGGGCUUGACGGUACCUCCAAAGGAAGCGCCGGCUAACUCCGUGCCAGCAGCCGCGGUAAUACGGAGGGCGCAAGCGUUGUUCGGAAUCACUAGGCGGAAAGCCCGUGUAGGCGGGAAAGCCCGGGGCCUAACCGCGGAACUGCACUCGAAACUGCCUCGCGCGAGUCUCGGAGAGGGUGGUGGAAUUCCCGGUGUAGUGGUGAAAUACGUAGAGAUCGGGAGGAACACCAGCGGCGAAGGCGGCCACCUGGACGAUGACUGACGCUGAGACGCGAAAGCGUGGGGAGCAAACAGGAUUAGAUACCCCAGUAGUC
rnacentral:rRNA from 1 species